AUUGAACGCUGGCGGCAGGCCUAACACAUGCAAGUCGAGCGGAUGAAGGGAGCUUGCUCCUGGAUUCAGCGGCGGACGGGUGAGUAAUGCCUAGGAAUCUGCCUGGUAGUGGGGGAUAACGUCCUGAAACGGGCGCUAAUACCGCAUACGUCCUGAGGGAGAAAGUGGGGGAUCUUCGGACCUCACGCUAUCAGAUGAGCCUAGGUCGGAUUAGCUAGUUGGUGGGGUAAAGGCCUACCAAGGCGACGAUCCGUAACUGGUCUGAGAGGAUGAUCAGUCACACUGGAACUGAGAAACGGUCCAGACUCCUACGGGAGGCAGCAGUGGGGAAUAUUGGACAAUGGGCGAAAGCCUGAUCCAGCCAUGCCGCGUGUGUGAAGAAGGUCUUCGGAUUGUAAAGCACUUUAAGUUGGGAGGAAGGGCAGUAAGUUAAUACCUUGCUGUUUUGACGUUACCAACAGAAUAAGCACCGGCUAACUUCGU
rnacentral:rRNA from 1 species